CCAGGCCGCCCGCGGCGGGAGGAGAAAGGACCGCGGAGGUGGGGGGGGGGGGACGGCGGCGGGGCGGCGACAGCCACCCCUCCCCGCGCCGUCAGCCCCGUCAGGGCCCACGCCGCGGCGAAGUUUUGACAGCUGCUCCAGUUGUUGUGGGUUUAAUCUCUGCGGGCCUUCUCAGCUUUUUUAUGUGUACAGUCAAAGGAAGCUUGGAGAAGGGAAGAAGGCUGUCGUGAUAAAGGCAUUGAAGACUUGCUCCCGACACAAUGUUCGGAGGAAAGGGCUUUGGUAAAGUGACCGGACCGGUGCUUUGGUGGACUCAUACUUGGAUGGCAUUUUUGGAGGCCUCCAACAAGGAAGCCAGCCAGCCAUGAACUGACACUUCCAAAACUGAGAACCUAAAUAAAGCCACCUCCCUGAAAUUGUU